rnacentral:misc_RNA from 1 species
CGGAGGAGUAGUAGUAAGAAUCAUCCUUCUUGCAAAACGAAGACACCAGCAAUUUUUGUCUAUUUAUAUCACUUUUGCAUAGAUCUCGACGAAGAUCGAGGAAUUUGCCAUCUUUAAUUAAAGAACAUCCUGAUUUACAAAAACAUUUGAACCCUCAACAAGAGAAACAACAGAAUCAUGUUGAAGUAGAGCGUCUACGGAGGAGUAGUUG